GCUGACACAUCCCAGCCAAUCUCCAGCAGACCCUCCCUCCCAGACCCUCCCACCUCCUGGACAGCAUCCAUGUUGAAGCUGCCUUCAACAUGGAUGCUGUCCAGGAGGUGGGAGGGUCUGGGAGGGAGGGUCUGCUGGAGAUUGGCCGGGAUGCCUUCA